rnacentral:rRNA from 1 species
UACGAAGGGUGCAAGCGUUACUCGGAAUUACUGGGCGUAAAGCGUGCGUAGGUGGUUCGUUAAGUCUGUCGUGAAAGCCCGGGCUCAACCUGGAAUGGCGAUGGAUACUGGCGAGCUAGAGUGCGGUAGAGGAGAGUGGAAUUCCCGGUGUAGGCAGUGAAAUGCGUAGAGAUCGGAGGAACAUCAGUUGCGAAGGCGGCUCUCGUGGACCAGCACUGACACUGAGGCACGAAAGCGUGGGGAGCAAACAGG